rnacentral:snRNA from 1 species
GGAUGUGAGGGUGAUCCAGCUGGGUAGCUAGGCGUGUGACCUCUUCCUCCUUCACUGCUCCAUGUGCAUCCCUCCCACAGCUGCAUGCUUGGUUGAAGAGCAUGACCACCUCUGAAAGAAGAGGACUAAUUUCUCAGUAAAGAGUAUAUGAGUAGCUGUACUCUCCUGCAAGAACCUCCAAACAAGCUCUGAGAAGGGCGUUGUUAAUUUCCAUGUUUUAAUGGGGUUUUUUUGCCAUUAAUU